rnacentral:lncRNA from 1 species
GAUGAAGAAGACGUUUAGACCUUCGAUUGCUGCUUGCUAUCAAUCUUAAGAAGAUGAAAUACACUCAUUUUUGUUGGGAAAAUUGGUAGAAUUUUCUUCUUCAAACUUCACAGGGUCUUGGUCUUUUUCUCUUUGGUGCUGCAGAUUCAACAAAAAAAUUAAAAUUGAAAAUUUUAGUCAUUUGAUAUUGAAAAAGAAAUGUUGAGAAACCCGUUUAACUUGAUGGUCAGCGGAAUUACUUACCAACAGCAUACAUGGGGUAGUUGAUGAACUAGAGUUUUGUGGCAAUUUAGAAUGAAGGGGUUGUGCAGAAGAUGGUGAAAGCUGAAAUGGGAGAAGAAACUUUGCAUCAUUUUCUGAUCCAUGAGUAUCUCUCUAGCUUUUGUGAAGAAAUUGUUGCAAUUUCUUUUUUUGAUGGACAGUGAGGGUGUGUUUGUUUAAAAUGCUUCAUGCUGGAUACUUAAUGCUAGAUGCUGAAUACUGAAUGAUGGAAAAGUUGUUUGGUUAUCA